ACGCUGGCGGCAGGCCUAACACAUGCAAGUCGAGCGGUAGAGAGAAGCUUGCUUCUCUUGAGAGCGGCGGACGGGUGAGUAAUGCCUAGGAAUCUGCCUGGUAGUGGGGGAUAACGUUCGGAAACGGACGCUAAUACCGCAUACGUCCUACGGGAGAAAGCAGGGGACCUUCGGGCCUUGCGCUAUCAGAUGAGCCUAGGUCGGAUUAGCUAGUUGGUGAGGUAAUGGCUCACCAAGGCGACGAUCCGUAACUGGUCUGAGAGGAUGAUCAGUCACACUGGAACUGAGACACGGUCCAGACUCCUACGGGAGGCAGCAGUGGGGAAUAUUGGACAAUGGGCGAAAGCCUGAUCCAGCCAUGCCGCGUGUGUGAAGAAGGUCUUCGGAUUGUAAAGCACUUUAAGUUGGGAGGAAGGGCAGUUACCUAAUACGUGAUUGUUUUGACGUUACCGACAGAAUAAGCACCGGCUAACUCUGUGCCAGCAGCCGCGGUAAUACAGAGGGUGCAAGCGUUAAUCGGAAUUACUGGGCGUAAAGCGCGCGUAGGUGGUUUGCUAAGUUGGAUGUGAAAUCCCCGGGCUCAACCUGGGAACUGCAUUCAAAACUGACUGACUAGAGUGUGGUAGAGGGUGGUGGAAUUUCCUGUGUAGCGGUGAAAUGCGUAGAUACAGGAAGGAACACCAGUGGCGAAGGCGACCACCUGGACCAACACUGACACUGAGGUGCGAAAGCGUGGGGAGCAAAC
rnacentral:rRNA from 1 species